rnacentral:rRNA from 1 species
CUACGGGCCGCUGCAGUGAGGAAUUUUGCGCAAUGGGGGCAACCCUGACGCAGCAACGCCGCGUGAGUGAAGAAGGCCUUUGGGUCGUAAAGCUCUGUCGACAGGGAAGAAGUUAUUGUUGUUUAACAGAUGACAGUAUUGACGGUACCUGUAGAGGAAGCACCGGCUAACUGCCGUGCCAGCAGCCGCGGUAAUACGGGGGGUGCAAGCGUUAUUCGGAAUUAUUGGGCGUAAAGGGCGCGUAGGCGGUCUUGUCGGUCAGAUGUGAAAGCCCAGGGCUCAACCCGGGACGUGCAUUUGAAACAGCAAGACUUGAGUACGGGAGAGGAAAGCGGAAUUCCUGGUGUAGAGGUGAAAUUCGUAGAUAUCAGGAGGAACACCGAUGGCGAAGGCAGCUUUCUGGACCGAUACUGACGCUGAGGCGCGAAGGUGUGGGUAGCGAACGGGAUUAGAUACCCUAGUAGUC